CGCCUUUAGAGCGGCCCGCGUCUGAUUAGCUAGUUGGUGGUGUAAUGGACCACCAAGGCGACGAUCAGUAGCUGGUCUGAGAGGAUGAUCAGCCACAUUGGGACUGAGACACGGCCCAAACUCCUACGGGAGGCAGCAGUGGGGAAUCUUGCGCAAUGGGCGAAAGCCUGACGCAGCCAUGCCGCGUGAAUGAUGAAGGUCUUAGGAUUGUAAAAUUCUUUCACCGGGGACGAUAAUGACGGUACCCGGAGAAGAAGCCCCGGCUAACUUCGUGCCAGCAGCCGCGGUAAUACGAAGGGGGCUAGCGUUGCUCGGAAUUACUGGGCGUAAAGGGAGCGUAGGCGGACAUUUAAGUCAGGGGUGAAAUCCCGGGGCUCAACCUCGGAAUUGCCUUUGAUACUGGGUGUCUUGAGUAUGAGAGAGGUGUGUGGAACUCCGAGUGUAGAGGUGAAAUUCGUAGAUAUUCGGAAGAACACCAGUGGCGAAGGCGACACACUGGCUCAUUACUGACGCUGAGGCUCGAAAGCGUGGGGAGCAAACAGGAUUAGAUACCCUGGUAGUCCACGCCGUAAACGAUGAUUGCUAGUUGUCGGGAUGCAU
rnacentral:rRNA from 1 species